rnacentral:rRNA from 1 species
UACGUAGGGUUCAAGCGUUGUCCGGAAUUAUUGGGCGUAAAGAGCUCGUAGGCGGUUUGUCGCGUCUGCUGUGAAAACUCGGGGCUUAACCCCGGGCCUGCAGUGGGUACGGGCAGACUAGAGUGCGGUAGGGGAGACUGGAAUUCCUGGUGUAGCGGUGAAAUGCGCAGAUAUCAGGAGGAACACCGGUGGCGAAGGCGGGUCUCUGGGCCGGAACUGACGCUGAGGAGCGAAAGCGUGGGGAGCGAACAGG